rnacentral:rRNA from 1 species
GACGAACGCUGGCGGCGUGCUUAACACAUGCAAGUCGAACGGAAAGGCCCUGCUUUUGUGGGGUGCUCGAGUGGCGAACGGGUGAGUAACACGCGAGUAACCUGCCCUUGACUUUGGGAUAACUUCAGGAAACUGGGGCUAAUACCGGAUAGGAGCUCCUGCUGCAUGGGGGGGGUUGGAAAGUUUCGGCGGUUGGGGAUGGACUCGCGGCUUAUCCGCUUGUUGGUGGGGUAGUGGCUUACCAAGGCUUUGACGGGUAGCCGGCCUGAGAGGGUGACCGGCCACAUUGGGACUGCGAUACGGCCCAGACUCCUACGGGAGGCAGCAGUGGGGAAUCUUGCACAAUGGGCGGAAGCCUGAUGCAGCAAUGCCGCGUGCGGGAUGACGGCUUUCGGGUUGUAAACCGCUUUCGCCUGUGACGAAGCGUGAGUGACGGUAAUGGGUAAGGAAGCCCCGGCUAACUACGUG